GAUGAACGCUGGCGGCGUGCCUAAUACAUGCAAGUCGAGCGAACAGACGAGGAGCUUGCUCCUCUGACGUUAGCGGCGGACGGGUGAGUAACACGUGGAUAACCUACCUAUAAGACUGGGAUAACUUCGGGAAACCGGAGCUAAUACCGGAUAAUAUAUUGAACCGCUUGGUUCAAUAGUGAAAGACGGUUUUGCUGUCACUUAUAGAUGGAUCCGCGCCGCAUUAGCUAGUUGGUAAGGUAACGGCUUACCAAGGCAACGAUGCGUAGCCGACCUGAGAGGGUGAUCGGCCACACUGGAACUGAGACACGGUCCAGACUCCUACGGGAGGCAGCAGUAGGGAAUCGUCCGCAAUGGGCGAAAGCCUGACGGAGCAACGCCGCGUGAGUGAUGAAGGUCUUCGGAUCGUAAAACUCUGUUAUUAGGGAAGAACAAAUGUGUAAGUAACUAUGCACGUCUUGACGGUACCUAAUCAGAAAGCCACGGCUAACUACGUG
rnacentral:rRNA from 1 species